rnacentral:rRNA from 1 species
GAUGAACGCUGGCGGCGUGCUUAACACAUGCAAGUCGAACGGAAAGGCCACAGCUUGCUGUGGUACUCGAGUGGCGAACGGGUGAGUAACACGUGGGUGAUCUGCCCUGUACUUCGGGAUAAGCUUGGGAAACUGGGUCUAAUACCGGAUAGGAAUCACAUGUGGGUGUGUGGUUGGAAAGCUUUUGCGGUAUGGGAUGAGCUCGCGGCCUAUCAGCUUGUUGGUGGGGUAAUGGCCUACGAAGGCGUCGACGGGUAGCCGGCCUGAGAGGGUGUACGGCCACAAUGGGACUGAGAUACGGAGCAGAAUGGUACGGGAGGCAGCAGUGGGGAAUAUUGCACAAUGGGCGCGAGCCAGAUGCAGCGAUGCCGCGUGGGUGAUGACGGCAUUCGGGUUGUAAACUCCUUUCGUCGGGGACGAAGCGAAAGUGACGGUACCUGGAUAAGAAGCACCGGCUAACUACGUG